GACGAACCGUGCGAACGUUGUUCGGAAUCACUGGGCUUAAAGGGCGCGUAGGCGGGCGAGCAAGUCCGGGGUGAAAGCCUCCGGCUUAACCGGAGAAGGGCCUUGGAUACUGCUCGUCUUGAGGGAGGUAGGGGCUUGUGGAACUUCCGGUGGAGCGGUGAAAUGCGUUGAUAUCGGAAGGAACGCCGGUGGCGAAAGCGACAAGCUGGCCCUCUUCUGACGCUGAGGCGCGAAAGCUAGGGGAGCAAAC
rnacentral:rRNA from 1 species